rnacentral:rRNA from 1 species
UACGUAGGGUGCAAGCGUUGUCCGGGAUUAUUGGGCGUAAAGAGCUCGUAGGCGGUCUGUCGCGUCGGCUGUGAAAACUCGGGGCUCAACCCCGAGCCUGCAGUCGAUACGGGCAGACUAGAGUGCGGUAGGGGAGACUGGAAUUCCUGGUGUAGCGGUGAAAUGCGCAGAUAUCAGGAGGAACACCGGUGGCGAAGGCGGGUCUCUGGGCCGUAACUGACGCUGAGGAGCGAAAGCGUGGGGAGCAAACAGG